UACGUAGGUGGCAAGCGUUGUCCGGAUUUACUGGGUGUAAAGGGCGUGCAGCCGGGCUGACAAGUCAGAUGUGAAAUCCCGCGGCUCAACCGCGGAACUGCAUUUGAAACUGUCAGUCUUGAGUACCGGAGAGGUCAUCGGAAUUCCUUGUGUAGCGGUGAAAUGCGUAGAUAUAAGGAAGAACACCAGUGGCGAAGGCGGCUUCCUGGUCUGCAACUGACACUGAGGCGCGAAAGCGUGGGGAGCAAACAGG
rnacentral:rRNA from 1 species